rnacentral:lncRNA from 1 species
GGUUGCCAUGCCCUGCUCCAGGGAAUCUUCCUGACCCAGGGAUCAAACCCACAUCUGUUACAUCUCCUGCUUUGGCAGACGGGUUCCUUAUCACUAGCACCACCUGGGAAGCCCUUGCAGGAUCAUAUGGUAGCUCUAUUCUUAGUGUUUUGAGGAACCUCCAAACUGUCAUCCAUAGUGGCUACACCAACUCACAUUCCCACCAACAGUGGACGAAGGUUCUCUUUCCUCCGCACCCACAUUUUUAUAAUAGUCAUUCCAGCUGGUGUGAGGUGAUACCUCAGUGUAGCUUUGAUUUGUAUUCCUCUAAUAAUUAGUGAUGGUGAGCAUCUUUUCAUGUUCUUAUCAGCCACAUGGACGUCUUCUUUGGAGAGAUGUAUAUUUAAGGUCUUCUCUCCAUUUUUUGAUUGGGUUGUUGGGGUUUUUUGGUUGUUGAGUUGUGUGAGCUGUUUGUACAUUUUGGAAAUUCAGCCCUUGUGUGUUGAAUCGUUUUGUAAAUAUAUUCUUCCAGAAGAACAUCUUUCUAAUCACGCAAAGGCAGCUGCUCUUACAGUUUUGGUGCGCGUCCCAGCACACCUUUGCAAGGGCUGGGAGUAUGAGGCUUGGGUUUUGGAACAUGUUCACAAUCAGGCCUUAGCACACAGCCCUGUCUUCUGCACAGGAUGAAGGCAGUUGUGGGAUGAUUUAGAGAAAAUAAAACAAACAGGGGGCUUAAGUACCAUAAUUCCAGGACCGGGAUUCAAUGUUGAGCUCUGGCGCUAAGUGGCUGUGUGUCCUGGGAGAAUGUCCGCUGUCUCUGGGCCUCUGUGUCCACUUCUGUAACAUGAAGGGGUCUAAUGAAAAAGUGUCCAGGAGCCCUUCCCACCCUAAUAUUCCAGAAUCCUAUCAGGCUAACCUGGGAUUCCGGAAUUAUCCCGGAGCAGAGGGGAGAAGGAAGAAUAUGCCAGGUACAGGAACCCAGCUUUCCAGUAAGACGGCCCCUCGGGUUCUGUUCCCACUGGCCCCAGACCUGUGAGCACGUCCCAAUGCCUGGUCACCUCUGGCCUGGACAGACCCCUGACAGGUCACUCCAGCAGGAAACAGGCCAGGCUGUGGCCCUGCCUGCAUACUGGCGUUUACUCGCUGUGUGACUUUAGGCAUCUCCUCACCUCUCUGAGCCUCAGUUUCCCCCUCUGUCAUGAGGAACUGGGGGUAAGUUGAACAUUUUCUUUUUAAGUAGAACUCCUUUCUCCAAAAAGAUUGUUUGCAGAAACCUAACAUAGAGCAGAGAGGAGGGAAGCCUGACAAUAUAGCUCCUUUAAAGUGCGUCAAGCAUCGUCCUAAGCACUUUACGUUCAUGACCCUGUCCCUCCUGACAGCAACCCUGCACAGCGGGUGCUGUUAGCUCUCCAUUUGACAGAUAGAGAUGCUGAGGCCCUGAGGNNNNNNNNNNNNNNNNNNNNNNNNNNNNNNNNNNNNNNNNNNNNGAGGUGGUUGGAUCUCAGUAGUGAAAGUCCAGGCCCCCUGUCUUUCCAACCCAUUGAGGACAUCCCCCGGCACCCAGCCCAUGCUCUUCCGUGCACACACACACACUCUGUGGUUUGCCCUUUGCAGCUCCUCUCAAGGUCUAAACCACAAGCGACUGAUGAGAUUGAGACAUUGAGGUUUCCUGCCCCCCCAAAACCCACAUCACUGAUGCUGAGCAGGGCCUGGGGGGCCCACGGGGCUCUGCUUGGCAUCAUCACCAAAAGGUCCCAAGGCCCAAGGCCCAUGGGCUACCAGCUUCCAGCCUGUGCUGAUCUCCGAGCCACACUCACGCAGCCAGCAGAGCCCUGGUUUGAAUUGUCCACCCACAGCCACCUGCACAGACCUUCUUCCCUUGAAGAAUGAAGUCACAGUGCCCCCUUCAGACCAGGGGCAGCCAGGCCUGAAAGCCCACAUGACCCCUCAACUAUUCACAGGGGGUGCCUUG